rnacentral:rRNA from 1 species
AUUGAACGCUGGCGGAAUGCUUUACACAUGCAAGUCGAACGGCAGCACGGGUGCUUGCACCUGGUGGCGAGUGGCGAACGGGUGAGUAAUGCACCGGAACGUAUCCAAUAAUGGGGGAUAACGCACCGAAAGGUGUGCUAAUACCGCAUACGCCCUGAGGGGGAAAGCGGGGGAUCGUAAGACCUCGCGUUAAUGGAGCGGCCGAUGCCGGAUUAGCUAGUUGGUGGGGUAAAGGCUCACCAAGGCGACGAUCCGUAGCUGGUCUGAGAGGACGACCAGCCACACUGGAACUGAGACACGGUCCAGACUCCUACGGGAGGCAGCAGUGGGGAAUUUUGGACAAUGGGCGCAAGCCUGAUCCAGCCAUUCCGCGUGAGUGAAGAAGGCCUUCGGG